GAUGAACGCUGGCGGCGUGCCUAAUACAUGCAAGUCGUGCGAACAGACGAGGAGCUUGCUCCUCUGACGUUAGCGGCGGGCGGGUGAGUAGCACGUGGAUAACCUACCUAUAAGACUGGGAUAACUUCGGGAAACCGGAGCUAAUACCGGAUAACAUGUUGAACCGCAUGGUUCAACAGUGAAAGACGGUCUUGCUGUCACUUAUAGAUGGAUCCGCGCCGCAUUAGCUAGUUGGUAAGGUAACGGCUUACCAAGGCAACGAUGCGUAGCCGACCCGAGAGGGUGAUCGGCCACACUGGAACUGAGACACGGUCCAGACUCCUACGGGAGGCAGCAGUAGGGAAUCUUCCGCAAUGGGCGAAAGCCUGACGGAGCAACGCCGCGUGAGUGAUGAAGGUCUUCGGAUCGUAAAACUCUGUUAUUAGGGAAGAACAAAUGUGUAAGUAACUAUGCACGUCUUGACGGUACCUAAUCAGAAAGCCACGGCUAACUACGUG
rnacentral:rRNA from 1 species